GAUGAAGAACGCAGCGAAAUGCGAUAAGUAAUGUGAAUUGCAGAAUUCAGUGAAUCAUCGAAUCUUUGAACGCAUCUUGCGCUCCUUGGUAUUCCUUGGAGCAUGCCUGUUUGAGUAUCAUGAGCAAAUCUCAAAGUCAAUUCCUUUUGUUGAUUCAAUUGGUUUUGCUUUGGACUUGGAGGCCUUGCAGAUUUCACAGUCUGCUCCUCUUAAAUGCAUUAGCUGGAUCUCAGUAAUUAUGCUUGGUUCCACUCGGCGUGAUAAGUAUCACUCGCUGAGGACACUGUUAAAAAGGUGGCCAGGAAAAUACUGAGUGAACCGCUUCUAACGGUCUAUUAAGUUAGACAAUUACCCUUAAGUUUGAUCUCAAAUCAGGUAGGACUACCCGCUGAACUUAAGCAUAUCAAUAAGCGGAGGA
rnacentral:misc_RNA from 1 species